rnacentral:rRNA from 1 species
AGCGUAGACGGAAUGGCAAGUCUGAUGUGAAAGGCCGGGGCUCAACCCCGGGACUGCAUUGGAAACUGUCAAUCUAGAGUACCGGAGGGGUAAGCGGAAUUCCUAGUGUAGCGGUGAAAUGCGUAGAUAUUAGGAGGAACACCAGUGGCGAAGGCGGCUUACUGGACGGUAACUGACGUUGAGGCUCGAAAGCGUGGGGAGCAAACA